GACGAACCGUCCAAACGUUAUUCGGAAUUACUGGGCUUAAAGGGUGCGUAGGCGGCCUGACAAGUUGGGUGUGAAAUACCUCGGCUCAACCGAGGAAUGGCGCUCAAAACUGUCAGGCUAGAGGAAGAUAGAGGUGAGCGGAACUUAAGGUGGAGCGGUGAAAUGCGUUGAUAUCUUAAGGAACACCCGUGGCGAAAGCGGCUCACUGGAUCUUUCCUGACGCUGAUGCACGAAAGCUAGGGGAGCAAACGGG
rnacentral:rRNA from 1 species